rnacentral:tRNA from 4 species
GCGGAAGUGACGGAAUUGGUAGACGCACCAGAUUUAGGUUCUGGCGCCGUAAGGUGUGAGAGUUCAAGUCUCUCCUUCCGCACCA